UACGAAGGGGGCUAGCGUUGCUCGGAAUUACUGGGCGUAAAGCGCACGUAGGCGGCUUCUUAAGUCGGAGGUGAAAUCCUGGAGCUCAACUCCAGAACUGCCUUCGAUACUGGGGAGGCUUGAGUUCGGGAGAGGUGAGUGGAACUGCGAGUGUAGAGGUGAAAUUCGUAGAUAUUCGCAAGAACACCAGUGGCGAAGGCGGCUCACUGGCCCGAUACUGACGCUGAGGUGCGAAAGCGUGGGGAGCAAACAGG
rnacentral:rRNA from 1 species